rnacentral:rRNA from 1 species
GACGAACGCUGGCGGCGUGCCUAAUACAUGCAAGUAGAACGCAGUUUCGAACGGGUGAGUAACGCGUAGGUAACCUGCCUCAUAGCGGGGGAUAACUUUUGGAAACGAUAGCUAAUACCGCAUACUGCGAGAUGGACCGGCGUUGCAUUUGCUAGUUGGUGAGGUAAAGGCUGACCAAGGCGAAGAGACAUAGCCGAGCUGAGAGGGUGAUCUGGCACCCUGGGACUGGGACACGGCCCAGACUCCCACGGGAGGCAGCAGUAGGGAAUCUUCGGAAAUGGGCGGAAGUCUGACCGAGCAACGCCGCGGGAGUGAAGAAGGUUUUCGGAUCGUAAAGCUCUGUUGUUAGGGAAGCGGUACCUAACCAGAAAGGGACGGCUAACUACGUGCCAGCAGCCGCGGUAAUAC